rnacentral:pre_miRNA from 1 species
GCAUAAUAUUGCCUGACAAAAAACAAGGAUCCACGGAUUUAGGAAUGGGAACGUUCUCUGUGUCCCAGAGCACAUUCUGCAAAACAAGUGUGCUUUGGGACACCGAGAAGGUUCCCAUUCCAAAAUCGGUGGAUCUUGUUUUUUGUCAGGCAAUAUUAUGC